rnacentral:rRNA from 1 species
CGGGACACGUGGUAUCCUGUCUGAAUAUGGGGGGACCAUCCUCCAAGGCUAAAUACUCCUGACUGACCGAUAGUGAACCAGUACCGUGAGGGAAAGGCGAAAAGAACCCCGGCGAGGGGAGUGAAAAAGAACCUGAAACCGUGUACGUACAAGCAGUGGGAGCACGCUUAGGCGUGUGACUGCGUACCUUUUGUAUAAUGGGUCAGCGACUUAUAUUCUGUAGCAAGGUUAACCGAAUAGGGGAGCCGAAGGGAAACCGAGUCUUAACUGGGCGUUAAGUUGCAGGGUAUAGACCCGAAACCCGGUGAUCUAGCCAUGGGCAGGUUGAAGGUUGGGUAACACUAACUGGAGGACCGAACCGACUAAUGUUGAAAAAUUAGCGGAUGACUUGUGGCUGGGGGUGAAAGGCCAAUCAAACCGGGAGAUAGCUGGUUCUCCCCGAAAGCUAUUUAGGUAGCGCCUCGUGAAUUCAUCUCCGGGGGUAGAGCACUGUUUCGGCAAGGGGGUCAUCCCGACUUACCAACCCGAUGCAAACUGCGAAUACCGGAGAAUGUUAUCACGGGAGACACACGGCGGGUGCUAACGUCCGUCGUGAAGAGGGAAACAACCCAGACCGCCAGCUAAGGUCCCAAAGUCAUGGUUAAGUGGGAAACGAUGUGGGAAGGCCCAGACAGCCAGGAUGUUGGCUUAGAAGCAGCCAUCAUUUAAAGAAAGCGUAAUAGCUCACUGGUCGAGUCGGCCUGCGCGGAAGAUGUAACGGGGCUAAACCAUGCACCGAAGCUGCGGCAGCGACGCUUAUGCGUUGUUGGGUAGGGGAGCGUUCUGUAAGCCUGUGAAGGUGUACUGUGAGGUAUGCUGGAGGUAUCAGAAGUGCGAAUGCUGACAUAAGUAACGAUAAAGCGGGUGAAAAGCCCGCUCGCCGGAAGACCAAGGGUUCCUGUCCAACGUUAAUCGGGGCAGGGUGAGUCGACCCCUA